rnacentral:rRNA from 1 species
GACGAACGCUGGCGGCGUGCUUAACACAUGCAAGUCGAACGGUAAGGCUCCAGCUUGCUGGGGUACACGAGUGGCGAACGGGUGAGUAACACGUGGGUGACCUGCCCUGCACUUCGGGAUAAGCCUGGGAAACUGGGUCUAAUACCGGAUAGGACCAUGGUGUGGAUACUGUGGUGGAAAGUUUUUUCGGUGUGGGAUGGGCCCGCGGCCUAUCAGCUUGUUGGUGGGGUAAUGGCCUACCAAGGCGGCGACGGGUAGCCGGCCUGAGAGGGUGGACGGCCACAUUGGGACUGAGACACGGCCCAGACUCCUACGGGAGGCAGCAGUGGGGAAUAUUGCACAAUGGGCGGAAGCCUGAUGCAGCGACGCCGCGUGGGGGAUGACGGCCUUCGGGUUGUAAACCCCUUUCACCAUCGACGAAGGGUUUCUGACGGUAGAUGGAGAAGAAGCACCGGCUAACUACGUG